rnacentral:rRNA from 1 species
GGGAGGUAGUGACAAUAAAUAACAAUACAGGGUUCUUUUGGAUCUUGUAAUUGGAAUGAGUACAAUUUAAAUCUCUUAACGAGGAACAAUUGGAGGGCAAGUCUGGUGCCAGCAGCCGCGGUAAUUCCAGCUCCAAUAGCGUAUAUUAAAGUUGUUGCAGUUAAAAAGCUCGUAGUUGAAUUUCGGGAUCAAUAUAUCGGUCGUGCCUCUGGUUCGUACUGGUAUCAUUGAUUUCUCCUUUCUGACGAACCAUGAUGUCAUUAAUUUGGUGUUAUGGGGAGUUAGGACUGUUACUUUGAAAAAUUAGAGUGUUUAAAGCAGGCAUUAGCUUGAAUACAUUAGCAUGGAAUAAUGAAAUAGGACGUUUGACCCUAUUUUGUUGGUUUCUAGGAUCGACGUAAUGAUUAAUAGGGAUAGUUGGG